CCUACGGGAGGCAGCAGUGGGGGAUAUUGCACAAUGGGGGGAACCCUGAUGCAGCGACGCCGCGUGGGUGAAGAAGCGCCUCGGCGCGUAAAGCCCUGUCAGCAGGGAAGAAAAUGACGGUACCUGAAGAAGAAGCCCCGGCUAACUACGUGCCAGCAGCCGCGGUCAUACGUAGGGGGCAAGCGGUAUCCGGAUGUGCUGGGUGUAAAGGGGGCGCAGACGGCGAUGCAAGCCAGGAGUGAAAGCCCGGGGCCCAACCCCGGGACUGCUCUUGGAACUGCGUGGCUGGAGGGCAGGAGGGGCAGGCGGAAUUCCUGGUGUAGCGGUGAAAUGCGUAGAUAUCAGGAGGAACACCGGUGGCGAAGGCGGCCUGCUGGACUGCAACUGACGUUGAGGUCCGAAAGCGUGGGGAGCAAACAGGAUUAGAUACCCCAGUAGUC
rnacentral:rRNA from 1 species